GAUCAGAUACCGUCGUAGUCUUAACUAUAAACUAUGCCGACCAGGGAUAUGAGUUGUUAUGAAUGACUUUUAGUUAUUCAAUUUCCUCUUGUGGACCUUGUGAGAAAUCAUAAGUUUUUGGGUUCUGGGGGGAGUAUGGUCGCAAGGCUGAAACUUAAAGGAAUUGACGGAGGGGCACCACCAGGAGUGGAGCGUGCGGCUUAAUUUGACUCAACACGGGAAAACUUACCAGGUCCAGACAUUAGAAGGAUUGACAGAUUGAUAGCUCUUUCAUGAUUUAAUGGGUGGUGGUGCAUGGCCGUUCUUAGUUGGUGGAGUGAUUUGUCUGGUUAAUUCCGAUAACGAACGAGACCUUUACCAUACUAAAUAGUUUGAUCUAUUCAUUUAUGAAUAGAUUUAUAUUUUUAUAAACUUCUUAGAGGGACUAUUGGUUCUUAAACCAAAGGAAGUAAAGGCGAUAACAGGUCUGUGAUGCCCUUAGAUGUUCUGGGCUGCACGCGCGCUACAAUGAUAAACUCAACGAGUAUUUAAUAUUUAUUUAUUAUAUUGCUGUAUUGGAAAGUAUGGCUAAUCUUAAACGUUUAUCGUGCUUGGGAUAGAUGAUUGCAAUUAUUUAUCUUGAACCAGGAAUUCCUAGUAAUCGUAUAUCAUCAGUGUGCGAUGAUUACGUCCCUGCCCCUUGUACACACCGCCCGUCGCUGCUACCGAUUGGAUGAUCCGGUGAAAUCCUCGGAUAAUGAUAAAUACUUUACUUUGUAAAGUUUAUCGUUAGAAGUUGAUUAAACCUUAUCAUCUAGAGGAAGCAAAAGUCGUAACGAGGUUUCCGUAGGUGAACCUGCAGAAGGAUCA
rnacentral:rRNA from 1 species